CGUCAACAACAAGCUCUUCAUUCUCUGUGGUGAGUGACAGGAUUGGAGUGAGGGGGAAUGCUGUCAUUAGCAUGCAAUAAAAAUCAUGAGUGUGUUUUUAAGAAGUCUAGUAUAAUAUUUCUGUAGUAUCACAAGGCGAGUUUUCUGUAUGAAUGGUGCUUAGGCAACUUGGAAAGAAUAAAUGUCAAGUGACAGAGCCCACAACUGCACGCAACCUGCUGCCGUGUGUGAGUGGCCCUGGAUAGCUAGGUCACUUUAUAUCCUCCAUUUUCCUGAUCUCUGUGGAAUGAAAAGAUGGAUCUGCUCUACCCCAGAGACAAAAAAUAAACAACUGCAAAAUACUUAUAAAGUACGAAAUGUCAUCAACGCAUUUGGUCUCGUUGACAAGUAAUGAUUCUGUCUCCAAAAACAGGUACCUGGACCUUCGCAAGUUUGGAUCUGUGCCGCAUGGAGGCUUCGGGAUGGGAUUUGAACGCUACUUACAAUGUAUCCUAGGAGUUGACAAUAUCAAAGAUGUUAUCCCUUUUCCAAGAUUUACUCAUUCGUGUCUUUUGUAGCUGAAAGAUUGUUUAAUGAGAAGUUCUCCAUGGCCAUGAGUAUGUAUGGAGAAGACUGGGGGUCUGUGUUCUGGAAAUGUGGAGUUCAGGGCACAAUUCAUAAUAUAUGAAAAAUACAAAUGGUCUUGAUCACCUUGAGGAGUCAAAGGCUUUUCAUGGACAAACUCCUGCAAGGAGAAAUACUAA
rnacentral:lncRNA from 1 species